GAGCAGUAUCCGUCAGCCAGCUCUUUGCAAAGACUGGGGUCCUUAGUGGCCUCCAACAGAGCCCAAGUCUUCUCUCUCAGAGGCUCUGCAGGAUGAUCCAUGAGGCAGUUCUGGGACAACACCUGUGUGCCACCUUUGGGGAACUCUCCAGGCCCUGGCCUCCCUUCAGAGCUCCUCUACAUCUGAACAUGUCCAGAUUUCUCCAGCUCUGGGCCUCAGAACCAUGAAUACACCUCCCUGAGGAAACAUUUGAAUUCUGGGCUUCUGUCAGGCUACUUGCCCAGAGAGGCAUUUCCUCAGGUCCCCAAGACCAUACGUGUGCUCUUAUGGUCAAUGUUCAUCUGUCUCAGGCAACCCCGCUCCCCCAUAUACCUGCAGUCCCUGCAUGACUGAGAUACCAAGUGCUGUGAAUGAGGUUUCUUAAAGAGAAAAAUCCAUUGUUAACAUUUGACUACGGUAGAAAUAGAAAACAGAGGCGGCAAAUCGGUACCUGCUGGGCCACAGUAAUGUUUUGUUGUUUAAAUGAAGUUGACUUGCCUGAUACAAAAUUAUCCAUUUUAACUUAAGGUACUGGGAAUUGAACCCAGGGCCUCAAGCAGCCUCUGAGAGAAUGCUCUCCUACUGAGUCACACCCCAGCCCUCUGUAAGACAAUGUAAAAGGAAAGUGCUGUCACCACCACCUGAUUCCAGGACAAAACCCGAUAACUUGCAAGGAUCAUCCUCAUUUCUCCCUCCCUGUGGCUUCUAGCACUAGCCUGCAUUCUGUCCAUAAAGGUUCACACAUGGUC